rnacentral:rRNA from 1 species
UUGAACGCUGGCGGAAUGCUUUACACAUGCAAGUCGAACGAGGUCCAGGGUGUAGCAAUACACCUGAAGACCUAGUGGCGAGCGGGUGCGUAACACGUGAGGAACUUGUCCCGGUCUCUGGGAUAACAGUUGGAAACGACUGCUAAUACCGGAUGACGUCGGAGCAUCGCAUGGUGCGCUGACGAAAGGGUUACUGGAUCGGGAGAGCCUCGCGGCCUAUCAGCUUGUUGGUGGGGUAACGGCCCACCAAGGCAUCGACGGGUAGCUGGUCUGAGAGGAUGAUCAGCCGCACUGGGACUGAGACACGGCCCAGACUCCUACGGGAGGCAGCAGUGGGGAAUCUUGCGCAAUGGGCGAAAGCCUGACGCAGCAACGCCGCGUGCGGGAUGAAGGCUCUCGGGUUGUAAACCGCUUUCAGCAGGAACGAAAAUGACGGUACUUGCAGAAGAAGGUGCGGCCAACUAUGU